rnacentral:rRNA from 1 species
UGGCGAACGGGUGAGUAACACGUGGGUGAUCUGCCCUGCACUCUGGGAUAAGCCUGGGAAACUGGGUCUAAUACCGGAUAGGACCAUGCUUUAGUGUGUGUGGUGGAAAGUUUUUUCGGUGUAGGAUGAGCCCGCGGCCUAUCAGCUUGUUGGUGGGGUAAUGGCCUACCAAGGCGGCGACGGGUAGCCGGACUGAGAGGUUGGUCGGCCACAUUGGGACUGAGAUACAGCCCAG